AAAGCGUGCGCAGGCGGUUAUGUAAGACAGAUGUGAAAUCCCCGGGCUCAACCUGGGAACUGCAUUUGUGACUGCAUGGCUAGAGUACGGUAGAGGGGGAUGGAAUUCCGCGUGUAGCAGUGAAAUGCGUAUAUAUGCGGAGGAACACCGAUGGCGAAGGCAAUCCCCUGGACCUGUACUGACGCUCAUGCACGAAAGCGUGGGGAGCAAACAGGAUUAGAUACCCCUGU
rnacentral:rRNA from 1 species